AAGACGAUCGUAGCCGUCA
rnacentral:snRNA from 1 species